rnacentral:rRNA from 1 species
UACGAAGGGGGCUAGCGUUGCUCGGAAUCACUGGGCGUAAAGCGCACGUAGGCGGGUUCUUAAGUCAGGGGUGAAAUCCUGGAGCUCAACUCCAGGACUGCCUUUGAUACUGGCGGCCUUGAGUCCGGGAGAGGUGAGUGGAACUGCGAGUGUAGAGGUGAAAUUCGUAGAUAUUCGCAAGAACACCAGUGGCGAAGGCGGCUCACUGGCCCGGUACUGACGCUGAGGCGCGAAAGCGUGGGGAGCGAACAGG